rnacentral:sRNA from 1 species
GCCAGGCAUGGUGGUGUGUGCCCGUAAUCCCAUCAGCUCUGGAGGCUGUGACAGGAGGAUCGUGAGUUUAAAGCCAGCCUCAGCAAAAUCGAGGAGCUAAGCAAUUCAGUGAGACCCUGUCUCUA